GACGAACGCUGGCGGCGUGCUUAACACAUGCAAGUCGAGCGGUAAGGCUCCUUCGGGAGUACACGAGCGGCGAACGGGUGAGUAACACGUGAGUAAUCUGCCCUUCACUUCGGGAUAACCACCGGAAACGGUGGCUAAUACCGAAUACGACCAGUCUUCGCAUGAAGUGCUGGUGGAAAGUCUUUUCGGUGAAGGAUGUGCUCGCGGCCUAUCAGCUUGUUGGUGGGGUAAUGGCCUACCAAGGCUUCGACGGGUAGCCGGCCUGAGAGGGUGACCGGCCACACUGGGACUGAGACACGGCCGAGACUCCUACGGGAGGUAGCAGUGGGGAAUAUUGGACAAUGGGCGAAAGCCUGAUCCAGCAACGCCGCGUGAGGGAUGACGGCGUUCGGGUUGUAAACCUCUUUCAGUACCGACGAAGCGCCCUGUCGGGUGGUGACGGUAGGUACAGAAGAAGGACCGGCCAACUACGUG
rnacentral:rRNA from 1 species